rnacentral:misc_RNA from 1 species
GAUGAAGAACGUAGCGAAAUGCGAUACUUGGUGUGAAUUGCAGAAUCCCGUGAACCAUCGAGUCUUUGAACGCAAGUUGCGCCCGAAGCCAUUAGGCCGAGGGCACGCCUGCCUGGGCGUCACACGUCGUUGCCCCCCCAUCUACUCCUUCGGGAUUGCGGGGGGCGGAUGAUGGCCUCCCGUGCGCCUCGCCGCGCGGUUGGCAUAAAUGCCAAGUCCUCGGCGACGCACGCCACGACAAUCGGUGGUUGCGAAACCUCGGUUGCCCGUCGUGUGCGGUCGUCGCGCAUUGAGGGCUCGAAAAAAUUGCCGGGUUCCGGCUCGGCUUUCAACGCGACCCCAGGUCAGGCUGGGUUACCCGCUGAAUUUAAGCAUAUCAAUAAGCGGAGGA